GUCUCCGACGUUGACAUCAGGUUUUGACAUCAAGAAUUGUUAAUGCUUCAAUUAGAACAUGAUAAGUUUAAGUUGAACGCAGAACUGCUUUUGCCGAAGGUUUCAGAGAAGGAUCCCGAGUCGUUUUUCUCAUUGUUUGAACGAGUGGCUGAAGUGCGCAAUUGGCCGGAGUCGGCGCGCACACUUAUGCUCCAGUGUGUGCUGACUGGCAGGGCGCAGGAAGCUUACGCUGCAUUAAAUGAUACUGAAAGUAAAAGUUACUCUGCUGUGAAGUCAGCGGUAUUAAGAGCUUAUGAGCUGGUUCCAGAAGCAUACAGGCAACGGUUUCGGACAUGGAAGAAAGGAGAAAAUCAGAGUCAUCUUGAGUUUGUACGAGACCUGAAUUUACAUUUCACUCGCUGGUAUUCUGCAUCGGAUGUGAACGACUUUGAAGGUUUAUGUGAACUCAUGGUGCUUGAACAGUUCAAGAGCUCUAUUCCUGUGCAAGUUGCAACAUAUAUCAGUGAACAGAAGGCAAAAAAUGCAGGUGAAGCAGCUGCCUUGGCUGACGAAUAUGUGUUGACGCAUAGACUAGAGUGUAGAGCUGCAUAUGAUAUUGGUGAAGGUGGUGCUGUCGGUGGUGUUGGAUCUUUUUCCCGGCAGGUUAAAACUUUUACAGUGGGAGGUAGACGUAAUGGUGGAUUGCGUGAACAGGUAAGAGUUUGCAACUACUGUCAUAAACAAGGACAUUGGAAGGCAGAUUGCUAUUUAUUAAAACAGAGGCCUACAAAUUCAACCUUUGAAACCCAAGUAAAAGGGGUAGGUUUGGCUGCACCUGUUCCUUUUGUCACCACUCCAGUUAAAGAUCCUGUGUUACAGACCAAAGACUGUGGGACUGCAGAUUUGGAUCCGUAUCGGCCCUUUAUUUUGAAAGGUUUUGUGUCUAUGGUAGGAAGUGCAGAAAAGGUGCCUGUGACAAUUUUACGAGACAGGCGCUUUUGACUCUUUCAUUCAGGCUGGAGUUCUGCCGUUGUCUAAGGAGUCGGAAGCUGGCAGUUCAGUUCCUGUUCGUGGGAUGGAUUUAAAUGUAUUGUUUGUUCCAUUGCACAAGGUGAUACUUGACUGUGACUUGUUUCAGGGGGAGGCUAAGUUGGCUGUGCGUCCUGUGUUGCCGAUCCAGGGCAUCUCUGUUAUCCUGGGUAACGACUUGUGAUCUGGUGGCAGAGCAGCAAGCGGAUUCCUCUCUCAAGGGGCUGAUGGAGCAGGUUCGGUCUGAGAGUGAGGUGCAGGACGGCGCUUGUGGUUAUUUUCUUCAGGACUCACUGCUGGCUCCACCCACCUCUCCAGGCUGCCUCAUGGUUUUUGGUUUUCUUUGUUCUUAUGGCACACAACAUCUUACAUCUACACAUUUUCAUUCAUGCAUACAUGCACCUUCACCACUGAUUGACUGAUUGACACACCCCAUCGUUUCUUUGGGUUUGUUUUUGGUAAAAAUGUUUGUUGUUUAGUUCUUUACAAUAAAUCAUUUCCAUUUUGGCCUUCAAUCCGUGUCUCCCUUGUGUGUUUGUCAUGGCUCUAGAGCCGGGUCGUGACAACAUCAUGUACACUGUUAUUAGUACAGACAGUUUUACUCCCUAUAAUGUAAGAGUCACAUCUAGUACCCAUAGAUUUGAUUCUGUUUUGUAUUCACAUGUUCAAGAUGGUCUGUUUGGUAAUA